GCGGGAGUAGCUCAGUGGUAGAGCGCUACCUUGCCAAGGUAGAAGUCGCGGGUUCGAAUCCCGUCUCCCGCUCCA
rnacentral:tRNA from 1 species